rnacentral:rRNA from 1 species
AAAACUCUGUUAUCAGGGAAGAACAAGUAUCGGAAUAACUACCGGUACCUUGACGGUACCUGACCAGAAAGCCACGGCUAACUACGGUGCCAGCAGCCGCGGUAAUACGUAGGUGGCAAGCGUUGUCCGGAAUUAUUGGGCGUAAAGGGCGCGCAGGCGGUUUCUUAAGUCUGAUGUGAAAUCUUGUGGCUCAACCACAAGCUGUCAUUGGAAACUGGGAGACUUGAGUGCAGAAGAGAAGAGUGGAAUUCCGCGUGUAGCGGUGAAAUGCGUAGAGAUGUGGAGGAACACCAGUGGCGAAGGCGGCUCUUUGGUCUGCAACUGACGCUGAGGCGCGAAAGCGUGGGGAGCGAACAGGAUUAGAUACCCUGGUAGUCCACGCCGUAAACGAUGAGUGCUAAGUGUUAGAGGGUUUCCGCCCUUUAGUGCUGCAGUAAACGCAUUAAGCACUCCGCCUGGGGAGUACGGCCGCAAGGCUGAAACUCAAAGGAAUUGACGGGGGCCCGCACAAGCGGUGGGGCAUGUGGUUUAAUUCGAAGCAACGCGAACAACCUUACCAGGUCUUGACAUCCUCUGCCAACCCUAGAGAUAGGGCGUUCCCCUUCGGGGGACAGAGUGAC